GCUCGCGUAGCUCAGUGGAUAGAGUGCUUCCCUCCGAAGGAAGAAGUCGCAGGUUCAAAUCCCGCCGCGAGUA
rnacentral:tRNA from 2 species